UACGGAGGGUGCUAGCGUUGUUCGGAAUCACUGGGCGUAAAGGGCGUGUAGGCGGUCUGUUAAGUCUGAUGUGAAAUCCCCUCGCUCAACGAGGGAACUGCGUCGGAUACUGACAGACUCGAGUACCGGAGAGGAAGGUGGAAUUCCCGGUGUAGCGGUGAAAAUGCGUAGAUAUCGGGAGGAACACCGGUGGCGAAGGCGGCCUUCUGGACGGAUACUGACGCUGAGACGCGAAAGCGUGGGGAGCAAACAGG
rnacentral:rRNA from 1 species